rnacentral:misc_RNA from 1 species
CCGAGGAGAUGUUGUGGCUGCCGUCGGGGCAACCCCCCUUCGGACGCCCAUUUUCCUUCUCAUCCAUUGUGAAUUUACCUCUGUUGCUUUGGCGGGCCCCCGGGUCGCACCGCCGCUGGCCGUCAGGCCGGCGAGUGUCCGCCAGAGUCCCUCUUAAACCCAGCUAAUCGGUGACGUCUGAGCGAAAAAUCAAUGAAACA